rnacentral:lncRNA from 1 species
AUGGAGCCUCGAAGUGCAAACGGAAGGAAUACCGACGAAGAUUUGAGGCCAUUGGACCACCACGAACCAGGAAAGACCAGGAUGUAUCAUAUGCCUGGACAGGGAACGAGAAAUUAUGUAUGGAACGAUUUCCGUAACCCACCCGCGUCCGCGUCACUAGGGUACCGCGCGCGUGCGCGUGCGUCAUUCACUUUGUCACCGAUGUCACCGUUGGCACCUGCUUUCAUUGAUGAUUGUUGAUUUACUUUCCCGCCUCCCAACAAGGCAGUGAGGUUAGGUCAUUCUUCGAUUGCCGCCACCCGUUCCGCACGUCACUUGUACCUCGAGAAAUGUAAGUCUCAUUCAUUUUUAUUACUCUAUUAUUAUUUUUAGUCUAGGAAUUCCAGAGCGUAGAAAUUUCAUCUAAGUUUAGGUCUUCUUUGAAUUUAAGACUGCCAUGUCAUAUGUGUUCCACCCAGUCUGAAGGUAAUACAGGAAUGGCUUGUCGCCGUAACAGACAGCACAUUUUUCGGUCAUAUUUUUAGUAGUAAUGAUAAUCACUCGAAUUUUUUUGCACUAAUCUACACAGGGUUACGUGUUAUAACGAUUUAUCGCUCUACCUUUUAAUUUUAAUUUAUAAAUGGCCGAAAAUGUGCUAUCUGUUACGCUGACUUUUUACCGCGUAACAGACAGCA